CCUACGGGUGGCAGCAGUCGAGAAUCAUUCACAAUGGGGGAAACCCUGAUGGUGCGACGCCGCGUGGGGGAAUGAAGGUCUUCGGAUUGUAAACCCCUGUCAUGUGGGAGCAAAUUAAAAAGAUAGUACCACAAGAGGAAGAGACGGCUAACUCUGUGCCAGCAGCCGCGGUAAUACAGAGGUCUCAAGCGUUGUUCGGAAUCACUGGGCGUAAAGCGUGCUUAGGCUGUUUCGUAAGUCGUGUGUGAAAGGGGCGGGCUCAACCCGCGGACGGCACAUGAUACUGCGAGACUAGAGUAAUGGAGGGGGAACCGGAAUUCUCGGGGUAGCAGUGAAAUGCGUAGAUAACGAGAGGAACACUCGUGGCGAAGGCGGGUUCCUGGACAUUAACUGACGCUGAGGCACGAAGGCCAGGGGAGCGAAAGGGAUUAGAUACCCCUGUAGUC
rnacentral:rRNA from 1 species